rnacentral:rRNA from 1 species
GACGUAGGGCGCGAGCGUUGUCCGGAUUUAUUGGGCGUAAAGAGCUCGUAGGCGGCUUGUCGCGUCGUUCGUGAAAACCCGGGGCUCAACUCCGGGCUUGCGGGCGAUACGGGCAGGCUAGAGUUCGGUAGGGGAGACUGGAAUUCCUGGUGUAGCGGUGAAAUGCGCAGAUAUCAGGAGGAACACCGGUGGCGAAGGCGGGUCUCUGGGCCGAUACUGACGCUGAGGAGCGGAAGCGUGGGGAGCGAACAGG